rnacentral:lncRNA from 1 species
UCUAUUUGGUCCUUUUCAAAUCAUUCAGGGGCACUUUUGUCAAAUUAAAUUAAAGAGAAGACUGGGGUUUAGAAGAGAGUUGGAGAGCGUUCAUUUGGGAAUGCUUUUAUAUAUUUAUUUCUACGUGAAAAAUGGGUUUUCUUAGGUUUUAUACAUGCCUUGUUUUGGCCUUUUUCGGGGGGUGUGUAUAUACUAUUUUUUUGUUGUCUCUCUGUCUAAAAGUCUUUGCCAUUUCACCGAAGCAAGAAUUUUAUGUUUUGGACUUUGGAGUUGAUAUUAUUGCAUUAUGGGAGAUAUUUUUUUCAGGGAUAAUUGGAUGUGUCUCCUGAUAUUAGGGAAAUUUUCUCUUUAAUUAUGCAGAUUUUUUAUGGUAGUAAAACCCCGCCAUGAGAAGGAUUUAAAAUUUUUAAUGUAUUGAAAGAUAUCGUGGUUCAUAGGCUCACAUUCUACUAAUUUAUUUGAUUUUUUUCUGAUUUUUCCAUAACUGUCUUUGUUUUCCUCCCUCUUCCUUAUUUUCUAGAUAUAUUUAUUAUUUUUUAGCAUAUGGUUUGACCAGUGAACUGGUCUGGUUCAGCCGAUCCAACUAGAUUGGUGCCCUCACCGAUUCAGUCACCAGUCCAGUCCUGACACUGGUUCAUAAGUUUGUUUAUUUAGUGUUUUUUCAUUUAAUUUCUGAUUUUACGAAUCCAUUUUGUCUUCAAUGGAGUGCAUUUACUCCCUUAAUAAUCACUUUUUUAUGCUUAUUCAUAGUUGAUAAUUAUUACUCCCCUGAAAUCUAUUAUGUAUUCAUUUUGACAUAUAUUUUGUUAUCCAUGAUAGAGAACAUGGAGCUUGGUUUGUCUUCUCUUCAUUUCUUUCCUCUCUUUUCUUUUCCUUGCUAAUUUCGAGGUUUAUUUGUUUAUUGCUGUGGUUGUGUCCAUUAAUGUAAUGGGUCAAGGUGUUUUCUCUAUCAUUUACGUUUUACUUAUAUUUUUAAUGAACCCCACCUGCCUGAAAGAAUAAUUUCUGUUUUUGAUUUCUGUUCGCUAUGGUUUCAGUAUCCUGUAGUUCUUUUUCAAUCAAAAGGGGAUGAGGAAAUAUUUGUCUGAUGGUUUGCAUAGUGAAUUGAUUAGAAUAGGUGGGCCACCAAAUUUAAACUAAUGAAACUGAAUUUAUGAAAAGCUUGGAUAAAUCAACUGAUCCAAUUUUCCUAAUUUUUUUAUUGAUCUUUCCAGGAUUUUGUGUACGUUCCUGCAUGCAGUUGUUUCAAACUAUAAGAAGUUCACUUUGAAAAUACUUACUAAAGGAUUUUGUGAUGCUUCCUUGUCCAUUUCUACAAUGUUUGCAUUUUAAUUUAAAUUAAGUGAAAAAGCCUCCUGAAUCAACUUGGCUUUGUCUUGGUUGACUAUCAAACUGAUUUUAACCUUUUUAUACUUUGCUGUUGUAUCCAUACGUCUUUUUUCUUCUACGUACCGUUCAUUUUAUUAUCUUUUUAUCUCUUUUGCUUGCCUGCCCCUAUUUUCCCUUCUUACUCUUUAUUAUUUGUAUCGAUUCUUUCUUCUAUUGCUCUAGAAAGAAAAAUGCGGAGCAUUGCCACCACUUGUUCAGACCUCCUUGACUCUUUACUUACCAUUGUCCAUACCUUGUUCUCAGUUAUCUUCUUUAUCAUUUUCUUUUUCAAUUGUGGUCUUUUAUCUUUUCGUUCCUUGAUUUUUCUAGACUAUAGGUAGUUGGUUAUUCAUGAUAAAAAAUCGAUUUGUCUAAAUAUUUUAUGCUCUGAUAUAACCUACAUUUUAUUAUCCUCUCUUUGUUCUUUUUGUUUCUAUUAUCUAGCUAGCAUGAAAGGUUUUUCUGGUUAAUGAAGUUUCUUAGUUAUGCUGUUUUCUUUCCAUUGAAAUCCGUGUGCUUUCUUUGACAAAACUCACAUGCAGGAGCUUACGCACAUGCACAUGUGCUUAAGUUUUUUCUUUUGACGGGGUUUCUUACCAAUUUCUAUUUUUCAAUGCGAGUGUUGCUCAUCUGUGUUUGAUUUCAUCUUUUCUAUCUGGCUUCCUCUAUUUAUUUUAUUUGCAGGAGGUUAUUGCUUCCUAGCUAUUUUUAACUCUCUAUGUGUUUGCAUAUUACUUAGAAGAGUUUGUGGAUUGUUGAACCUGCAAGACAUUUAGGUUUUUGUCAAGAGAAAUUUUUUCUAGCUUGUAAACCUUGAUUCAAUUUUUUCAUGGGUUGAAAUGUUCCUUCCAAUUUGUAUCAUUUACUUUUUUUGGGUGAAUAUGUAUCAUUUACUUAAGUAUUAUUCUUUUAUUGAUCCUAACUACGUAAUCGUGAUAAAUGUUUUUGUUGAGUAAUGAUGGAAGACAAGGAUUUGUAAGUUUCACAAUAUGGAUUUUGUAGUAUUGCCUUUCCUGCAAAUGCAUUGCCUGUGGAAGUUGAUGGAUAACCAACGGCCAUUGUAAAGGAUUGUUAAGAUGCUUAAUACAAAUUUUGUAGUACCACUCUAUAUGAACAUUUAUUGAAUCCCUCAAGUUCAUUGUUUUUCUAAUCUAAUCUUCUAUUUUUCAUUGCAGACUAAACGAACUACAGGAUUAUAGGUUGUGAGUGUUUUGAGGAUUUUCUUCUAAGGUUCUCUCCUGUCCUGUUGCCUGGGUUCUGUUUUUUAUGUUUGUUUUUGGAUUAUUUUCUUCUCCCGAAGUUACUUAGUUCCAUGCUCAGCAGAGUUUGGAAGCUCUUAUUCAUUAGAUAAGCAUGCAUGCUUCAUACAUGUGCAUAUAUGCCUAUGAAUCUUUGUUUGUUUUGGCUUUGGAAGGUGGGGAAUAGUUUUGCAUGUACUCGUAGUUGUGUUUUCACAACAUACGCAUGCACCUGUUUCUAUAUUUAGAAAUGUCGUUGUAACCCGUAGGAAGUUAAUGAAGUACAUAGUGCUAGUUGGGCUAUUUUUGAGUGCCAGUUACAGGCAAGUUUCUUGCCAAGUCGAUCGUCUGUGAGUUACUGCUGAGUCUACUGCUAUAACUAUUGGGAUAUUUAGUUAAAGACUAAUUCGUGAAAAAUAAAAUUCCCAAACUUGCAAUGGUGUCGCCUUUUGAACUUCAUGCAGACACCAGAAUGAUGUGGCCAUUCAGUGUUUUGGCUGGCACAAGAUUUUAAAAAGUUGUCUGAAAUUUCAUAACAUGUUUGGAUUUGGACUGACACACAAUAACCGGUAUUCGGCUGGUUCAUUCGAGGAUAGUAAAGCAUGUUAUCAUAACUUCUAAAUAAAAUAUUUGCUUUCUCCAUUCAAAAAUAACUGAUGCAUUCAUAGGAAUGCUGUUCGUUAUACUACUAUAGUAAAAGUGUUUGGUCCAUUUAUUUACCUCAGGUUAUCGUAAUAAAAUAUUUGUUCUCUUCAUUGAGAUGGCACCGAUCGGCGAUAAGAUGAGAUAAAGUAGAUUUAGGUGGGCUGGCCAUAUGUAUUACAAACCCUAUGCAGCACCUAUUAGGAGGUGCGAGUUAGUUGAAGAGGAAAGCUCAAAAAGGGCAAGGGGUAGGCCAAAAUGAUAUGGUUGGAAGUAGUGAGCAAUUAUUAGAUUGCAUCCUUAUAUAAACUUUUCCUUUGCAUGCAGUUGGCAUACAGAUGCAUUCGUAGAUGUAGAGGUAAGGUGCAUCUUCAAAUUUUAUCAUGAUGUAUAAUUUUGAUUUAAAAUAUUAUUAGGAUUAUCUCACAAUCUAUUUUUAUAUCUAAUUAUAAAAUUUUAAAUUUAAAAAAUUAUUAAAGUCAAGUAGAUCUAUAAACAUAUGAAAAUAUUGAAAAUGGACGGUGUAGAUAAUAUACCGUAAAAUGCACUAUUUAUGAGUCUUAAAAUUUUUUUAUUUUUAAUAGAUGAUCAAUCGAAGGGUUUUUCAACAUUAAAAGUACAUGUUUUCGAGGGAUUUUUUAGGGGCAUUCCGUAGUUCUGCAUUAUGAGGUAGCAUCCUUAAAUAAACUUUUUCGCCCCUCAAAACCCUCGCAUUUUUCUCUCCACUCUCGCGCUAAGAGGAGCUCUCUCUCCUCUCUCUAAAAAUCCUUCACUAACUAAUGCACUCCUCUCUUCUCUCUCUAAAAUUCUAAAACCUCCCUGGAACUACUGCGCACUGUUUCCCUUCACUCUCUAAAUUUGAGAUUUAUAUCUCUCUCUGCCCAUUACACCUGUGGCCAUCUCUCUCUCCUGUCUCGCUCAUCUCUCUCUCUCUCCUCUCCUCUCCUUUUAUCACCUCGACUUCCGCUCUCUGGGAACCCUAAACUCUCUAUCCUCGCUCGAAUACAUCCCCCCAUUGUUUUUCCUUACGCACAGUUACACAAGGUAUGUCUCUCUCUCUCUCUCUGAACAAAUAAGGACUGGUUUUGACAACGAAGAAAAGCGUCAAAUAUUAUUUUGCUGUAUAGGAUCAAAUAAGAAAACGAAGCACAAAAAGAAAUAAGAGUAUCAACUAUACCAUUUUGAUUAAAGCAUGUUUUAUAUUUUGUUACUUAUGUACUGAUUUUCAAAUUUUUUACUGUUUUUUGCAGUGUAAAAACAAGUCAGAACACCAAAUAAGAACACCAAAUACACCCAUUUUGAUAAGAAACCAGAUUUUAUCGUUGUUGCUGAUUUUAUAUUGAUUUGGCAUCCACCACAGUGCUUCUUUUUUUUACUGAUUUUUCAAUGUUCCCAAAUCUCUGCUGGUUCUUUUUUAUUAUUUGUUGCUGAGCUCUUCAUUUGCUAAUAUUUGUUGGUUGCAUUAAUAUGCUUCUCUCCUUUUUUGUAUAUUGUUCUCCUUUUCUGUUGAUUUUUUUAUUGUUUAAUUGCAGCAUAUUUUGAAGUUUUUAUUUGAAUUUUUUAUUUUGAAUAUUUGGAUCGGUCUCUCUGUUAUAAUAUGUUACUGAUUCUGGUCAUUUCCAUCACUCUAUGACAUUGUUUAGUGUUGGGGAUCUCGUGGAUUCAAGCAUUGUUGCAUGUCAAAUUAUUGGAUUAUUCUUUAGAUGGGAUGAUACAUUCCAGACCUUGGUCUGCAAUUUUAUAUUUUUGUUCCGAACAUUUGCUCUGUCACUGUAUCUGUUAAUGAGGUACUGAUUUUGUUCAUUUCAUCAGUCAAUGCAUAAUCUAGGUUUUGGGGUCAUUUCUGUAGCAAAUUUUAGGUUUGCUCAUGAGAUUGGAUGAUAUAUUUGCUACAGUCCAAGGGAGCGUCUAUUUGCAAUGGCACUUCUCUAGUGCAAUGGCAAUUCUUUACUCUUGAACUCAAGACUGUGUCCGUUAACAUGUGCAGAUUUGUUUGAUUUUAUGGACAUCUUGAGAUUUGUGGAUCCAUUAAUGCGUGCUUUUACAUUUUUUGGGAUAUUUCACGACUCUAAUUUCAUCUUAGGUCAAGUUCUUGGUUUAUUCGAAAGCCUCUCUAUAUUUCACAACUCUAAUUUCAUGCUUGGUUUCUUGGAGCACAAAAUCAAUAAUUUUCAUUAACAAUCAUGGUUUAUUCGAAAGCCUCUCUAUCUCCCAUGAAUAAUAGUUCCAAACAUUUUAAAUUUACACAAAAAGGUUCUUGAUCUUCAUGUACUCUGGUUUCUAAGACCCUCUCAUUGGUUUGAUAAAAGAACUAGUUCUUGAUUGAAUUCUGUGAAAUUGCUUUCUGAAAUUGCCUAUGAAAUUGUUGUAGUUUGAUACUCACCUAUGAAAUUGUUGUAGUUUGAUACUCAUAGGUCAUGUUAGGGCCUGAAUUGUAUGACUUUUAAUGGUUUUCUAGUUCUUAGUUUUGACUUCAUAUCCAUCAGGUCUGGGGACUGGGUUACCCCCUCACCCCCCACAAAAAAAAUAAAAUAAAAAAUGUUAUCAUUAAAACAUCUGUUCCCAACACGAAUUCGGUAUGGACCUAGAUGAUGCAUGGUUCGAUUUCAAGCCACUCUAUGGUUGUCACCUGCAGAGUGAGUUUUUCAACUUACUCGGUGCUUAUGUCAAGAGAAUAGUCCUCCCUCUCAUAAGUAUCUUGAGCAUUCGAAUUCAUGGCCUUAAAAACCGUUCAGCUCAAGGAGAGCUUAGCUUUAAUCCACGGGCUAAAUUCAAAUUUUGAUUCUAUUUCUAGUUGUCAUAAAACAUGAUCACUAGUCAUGCUCUAUAUACUAUUAAUAAAUAUUGUUGGUGGGAUAUGUUAUAGGGAGUUACUUGAUUUCAUUUAAUAUCAAGCUAGUUAGUGUAGAUGGUGUAAGCAAUGACUAG